rnacentral:rRNA from 1 species
GACGAACGCUGGCGGCGUGCUUAACACAUGCAAGUCGAACGAUGAAGCCGGAGCUUGCUCUGGUGAAUUAGUGGCGAACGGGUGAGUAACACGUGAGUAACCUGCCCUUGACUCUGGGAUAACUGCGGGAAACUGUAGCUAAUACCGGAUACGACCCUCGGAGGCAUCUCCUGGGGGUGGAAAGAAUUUCGGUCAAGGAUGGACUCGCGGCCUAUCAGCUAGUUGGUGGGGUAAAGGCUCACCAAGGCGACGACGGGUAGCCGGCCUGAGAGGGUUACCGGCCACACUGGGGCUGAGACACGGCCCAGACUCCUACGGGAGGCAGCAGUGGGGAAUAUUGCACAAUGGGCGCAAGCCUGAUGCAGCAACGCCGCGUGAGGGAUGACGGCCUUCGGGUUGUAAACCUCUUUUAGCAUGGAAGAAGCGAAAGUGACGGUACCUGCAGAAAAAGCACCGGCUAACUACGUGCCAGCCGCCGCAGUAA